GAUUAACGCUGGCGGCGUGCCUAACACAUGCAAGUCGAACGAGGUAGCAAUACCUAGUGGCAGACGGGUGAGUAACGCGUGGUCAACCUACCGUUGAGUGGGGGAUAACUAGCCGAAAGGUUAGCUAAUACCGCAUACGUCUCCGAGGGGCAUCCCUUGGCGAUAAAAGGAGCAAUCCGCUCGAUGACGGGACCGCGUCCCAUUAGCUAGAUGGUGGGGUAACGGCCUACCAUGGCACCGAUGGGUAGCUGGUUUGAGAGAGCGACCAGCCACACUGGGACUGAGAAACGGCCCAGACUCCUACGGGAGGCAGCAGUGAGGAAUUUUCCGCAAUGGGCGCAAGCCUGACGGAGCGACGCCGCGUGUGGGAAGAAGGCCUU
rnacentral:rRNA from 1 species